rnacentral:tRNA from 1 species
GCCCUGGUGGCACAAUGGUGAAGCGCUUGGCUGUUAACUGAAAAGUUGGUGGUUUGAAUCCACCCAAUGGCU